AUUGAACGCUGGCGGCAGGCCUAACCCAUGCAAGUCGAACGAGUGGCGGACGGGUGAGUAAUGUCUGGGCAACUGCCUGAUGGAGGGGGAUAACUACUGGAAAAGGUAGCUACUACCGCAUACCAUCAGAUGUGCCCAGAGUGGAUUAGCUUGUUGGUGGGGUAACGGCUCACCAAGGCGACGAUCCCUAGCUGGUCUGAGAGGAUGACCGGCCAAACUGGAACGGAGACACGGUCCAGACGCCUACGGGAGGCAGCAGUGGGGAAUAUUGCACAAUGGGCGAAAGCCUGAUGCAGCCAUGCCGCGUGUAUGAAGAAGGCCUUCGGGUUGUAAAGUACUUUCAGCGGGGAGGCGGUACCCGCAGAGGAAGCACCGGCUAACUCCGUGCCAGCAGCCGCGGUAAUUC
rnacentral:rRNA from 1 species